CGACUGGUAGAUGAUGUGACGGUUUGGUUGUCGAAAUUAAACUAAGAAAAGUUUGGUGGUUUUUCAACCACUAUCACCACCCACCUCCCACCGCCACGGAUGCAUCAAGUGCAUGCCACCCCGUGUAUGCAGCAUCAAUCCUGGACCGUGGCCAAUCGCCAGCAGGACCGACUUGCACAUUUUGUUCCCCCUACAAACCUGCCUGAAUUGUUGGAAGAAUAUUACUAGUGAUAAUGAUUACAAUAAUACAGACUUUAUAUUUUUGGUGUUGAAUGCCAAAACCAAGUUACGAGCAAUUUACAGGUAUUAAAAGUUGUUGAUUAAAAAGAGAUCGGCUUAACAAUGAUCUAAAAGGAAAUGUAUAUUUUUAAAAAAUCAGAAUAAUAUCUUAUUGAUUAAAUGUAGUUAAAUUAAAAUUAUAAUGAGAAAAUAGUAAUAACGACCAACAAAAGGUAAUAUUUUUCCAAUUUUUUAUAUAUUUAUAUAAAAUAAUAUGUAUAUUAUACAAAUAUACAAUACAAUAUAUAGAUUAAACGGUAAUUCAGAUUGA